rnacentral:rRNA from 2 species
GGUCGCCAACGAGUGGCGGACGGGUGAGUAACACGUAGGUAACCUGCCCAGAAGCGGGGGACAACAUUUGGAAACAGAUGCUAAUACCGCAUAACAGCGUUGUUCGCAUGAACAACGCUUAAAAGAUGGCUUCUCGCUAUCACUUCUGGAUGGACCUGCGGUGCAUUAGCUUGUUGGUGGGGUAACGGCCUACCAAGGCGAUGAUGCAUAGCCGAGUUGAGAGACUGAUCGGCCACAAUGGGACUGAGACACGGCCCAUACUCCUACGGGAGGCAGCAGUAGGGAAUCUUCCACAAUGGGCGCAAGCCUGAUGGAGCAACACCGCGUGAGUGAAGAAGGGUUUCGGCUCGUAAAGCUCUGUUGUUAAAGAAGAACACGUAUGAGAGUAACUGUUCAUACGUUGACGGUAUUUAACCAGAAAGUCACGGCUAACUACGUGCCAGCAGCCGCGGUAAUACGUAGGUGGCAAGCGUUAUCCGGAUUUAUUGGGCGUAAAGAGAGUGCAGGCGGUUUUCUAAGUCUGAUGUGAAAGCCUUCGGCUUAACCGGAGAAGUGCAUCGGAAACUGGAUAACUUGAGUGCAGAAGAGGGUAGUGGAACUCCAUGUGUAGCGGUGGAAUGCGUAGAUAUAUGGAAGAACACCAGUGGCGAAGGCGGCUACCUGGUCUGCAACUGACGCUGAGACUCGAAAGCAUGGGUAGCGAACAGGAUUAGAUACCCUGGUAGUCCAUGCCGUAAACGAUGAGUGCUAGGUGUUGGAGGGUUUCCGCCCUUCAGUGCCGGAGCUAACGCAUUAAGCACUCCGCCUGGGGAGUACGACCGCAAGGUUGAAACUCAAAGGAAUUGACGGGGGCCCGCACAAGCGGUGGAGCAUGUGGUUUAAUUCGAAGCUACGCGAAGAACCUUACCAGGUCUUGACAUCUUGCGCCAACCCUAGAGAUAGGGCGUUUCCUUCGGGAACGCAAUGACAGGUGGUGCAUGGUCGUCGUCAGCUCGUGUCGUGAGAUGUUGGGUUAAGUCCCGCAACGAGCGCAACCCUUGUUACUAGUUGCCAGCAUUAAGUUGGGCACUCUAGUGAGACUGCCGGUGACAAACCGGAGGAAGGUGGGGACGACGUCAGAUCAUCAUGCCCCUUAUGACCUGGGCUACACACGUGCUACAAUGGACGGUACAACGAGUCGCGAACUCGCGAGGGCAAGCAAAUCUCUUAAAACCGUUCUCAGUUCGGACUGCAGGCUGCAACUCGCCUGCACGAAGUCGGAAUCGCUAGUAAUCGCGGAUCAGCAUGCCGCGGUGAAUACGUUCCCGGGCCUUGUACACACCGCCCGUCACACCAUGAG